rnacentral:rRNA from 1 species
UACGGAGGAUCCGAGCGUUAUCCGGAUUUAUUGGGUUUAAAGGGUGCGCAGGUGGGAGAUUAAGUCGGCGGUGAAAUUUUGCAGCUUAACUGUAACAGUGCCAUUGAUACUGCAUGGCUAGGAUUUGGUUGCUGUGGGUGGAAUGUGUGGUGUAGCGGUGAAAUGCUUAGAUAUCACACAGAAUAUCGAUUGCGAAGGCAGCUCACAAAGCCAAGAUUGACACUGAGGCACGAAAGUGUGGGGAUCAAACA